rnacentral:rRNA from 1 species
GACGAACGCUGGCGGCGUGCUUAACACAUGCAAGUCGAACGGAAAGGCCCUGCUUUUGUGGGGUGCUCGAGUGGCGAACGGGUGAGUAACACGUGAGUAACCUGCCCUUGACUUUGGGAUAACUUCAGGAAACUGGGGCUCAUAUCGGAUAGGAGCUCCUGCUGCAUGGUGGGCGUUGGUAAGUUUCGGCGGUUGGGGAUGGACUCGCGGCUUAUCAGCUUGUUGGUGGGGUAGUGGCUUACCAAGGCUUUGACGGGUAGCCGGCCUGAGAGGGUGACCGGGCACAUGGGGACUGAGAUACGGCCCAGACUCCUACGGGAGGCAGAAGUGGGGAAUAUUGCACAAUGGGCGGAAGCGUGAUGCAGCAACGCCGCGUGCGGGAUGACGGCCUUCGGGUUGUAAACCGCUUUCGCCUGUGACGAAGCGGGAGUGACGGUAAUGGGUAAAGAAGCACCGGCUAACUACGUG